rnacentral:rRNA from 1 species
AUUGAACGCUGGCGGCAGGCUUAACACAUGCAAGUAGAACGCAGUUGCGAACGGGUGAGUAACGCGUAGGUAACUGCCUGGUCGCGGGGGAUAACUAUUGGAAACGAUAGCUAAUACCGCAUAAUACCAGAUGGACCUGCGUUGUAUUAGCUAGUUGGUGGGGUAACGGCUCACAAAGGCAACGAUACAUAGCCGACCUGAGAGGGUGAUCAGUCACACUGGAACUGAGACACUGUCCAGACUCCUACGGGAGGCAGCAGUGGGGAAUAUUGGACAAUGGACGGAAGUCUGACCGAGCAACGCCGCGUGAGUGAAGAAGGUGUUCGGAUCGUAAAGCUCUGUUGUAAGAGAAGCGGUAUCUUACCAGAAAGGGACGGCUAACUACGUGCCAGCAGCCGCGGUAAUAC